AACGAACGCUGGCGGCAUGCCUAACACAUGCAAGUCGAACGAGGUUUCCACUUCGGUGGUUUCCUAGUGGCGCACGGGUGAGUAACGCGUGGGAACCUGCCUUGUGGUACGGAAUAACUCCGGGAAACUGGAGCUAAUACCGUAUGUGUCCUGUGGGACAAAGAUUGCAUCGCCAUGGGAGGGGCCCGCGUAGGAUUAGCUGGUUGGUGGGGUAACGGCCUACCAAGGCAACGAUCCUUAGCUGGUCGAGAGGAUGAUCAGCCACACUGGGACUGAGACACGG
rnacentral:rRNA from 1 species